rnacentral:siRNA from 1 species
UGGUUGGAUAGUGGUGUUUUUG